rnacentral:misc_RNA from 1 species
GAUGAAGAACGUAGCGAAAUGCGAUAAGUAAUGUGAAUUGCAGAAUUCAGUGAAUCAUCGAAUCUUUUAACGCACAUUGCGCCCGCCAGUAUUCUGGCGGGCAUGCCUGUUCGAGCGUCAUUUCAACCAUCAAGCCCCAGGCUUGUGUUGGGGACCUGCGGCUGCCGCAGGCCCUGAAAACCAGUGGCGGGCUCGCUAGUCACACCGAGCGUAGUAGCAUACACAUCGCUCAGGGCGUGCUGCGGGUUCCGGCCGUUAAACCCCUUUUUUACCCAAGGUUGACCUCGGAUCAGGUAGGAAGACCCGCUGAACUUAAGCAUAUCAAUAAGCGGAGGA